rnacentral:rRNA from 1 species
UACGUAGGGUGCAAGCGUUGUCCGGAAUUAUUGGGCGUAAAGAGCUCGUAGGCGGUCUGUCGCGUCUGCUGUGAAACUCAGGGCUUAACCCUGAGCUUGCAGUGGGUACGGGCAGACUAGAGUGCGGUAGGGGAGACUGGAAUUCCUGGUGUAGCGGUGAAAUGCGCAGAUAGUCAGGAGGAACACCGGUGGCGAAGGCGGGUCUCUGGGCCGAUACAUGA